AUCUGAUGAAUAAUAAUGAUAUACUAAAAUUACAAUAAUCUAGGGCAGUUAUAACUGCCUCUCUUGAAAAGGCCUCAAAACUUCUGGAAUGCUUCUCAUAUU